rnacentral:rRNA from 1 species
CCUACGGGAGGACAGCAGUGGGGAACUAUUGCACAAUGGGCGCAAGCCUGAUGCAGCCAUGCCGCGUGUAUGAAGAAGGCCUUCGGGUUNUAAAGUACUUUCAGCAGUGAGGAAGGUGGGUAUCGUUAAUAGCAUACUCUAUUUCGACGUUUAGACUGCAGAAGAAGCACCGGCUAACUCCGUGCCAGCAGCCGCGGUAAUACGGAGGGUGCGAGCGUUAAUCCGGAAUUACUGGGCGUAAAGCGCAUGCAGGUGGUUUGUUAAGUCAGAUGUGAAAGCCCGGGGCUCAACCUCGGAAUUGCAUUUGAAACUGGACAAACUAGAGUACUGUAGAGGGGGUAGAAUUUCAGGUGUAGCGGUGAAAUGCGUAGAGAUCUGAAGGAAUACCGGUGGCGAAGGCGGCCCCCUGGACAGAUACUGACACUCAGAUGCGAAAGCGUGGGGAGCAAACAGGAUUAGAUACCCUGGUAG